UCCGGCUUAUCACCGGCAGUCCCUUUAGAGUGCCCAACUGAAUGAUGGCAACUAAAGGCGAGGGUUGCGCUCGUUGCGGGACUUAACCCAACAUCUCACGACACGAGCUGACGACAGCCAUGCAGCACCUGUCACCGGUCCGGCUUAACCCGAAGAGGUUCAUCUCUGAUCCUCGCGACCGGGAUGUCAAGGGUUGGUAAGGUUCUGCGCGUUGCUUCGAAUUAAACCACAUACUCCACCGCUUGUGCGGGCCCCCGUCAAUUUCUUUGAGUUUUAAUCUUGCGACCGUACUCCCCAGGCGGACGACUUAGCGCGUUAGCUACGACACCGAAAGGCAGACCCCUCCGACAUCCAGUCGUCAUCGUUUAGGGCGUGGACUAC
rnacentral:misc_RNA from 1 species